rnacentral:lncRNA from 1 species
AGACAAGAUCAGAAGUUUAAGGCCAUCCUCUGGCAACAGAAGGAGUUGAGUGCAGUCUGGAAUGCAGACCCUGUUUUGCUACUAUUUAAAUUAGAAUCCUGCCCAAACUUCUGUAUACCUGUUCACAUGCCUGCUUUCCCCAGAUGUAGUUCAUGGCUAUAAAAUAAUUGUUUAUUUUUACACCUGUUACAAUGUUGAACAUAAUUUCCUGGUGUUUCAGCCUUUAGUCUUAUUAUUUUACAAAUGUAAGUGAAGGUUUUAAGAGAUACCCUGAGUUUAUUCUUUUUUUUUUUUUUUUUUUAAGAUUUAUUUAUUUAUUUAUUUAUUUAUUUAUUAUAUGUAAGUACACUGUAGCUGUCUUCAGAUGCACCAGAAGAGGGCAUCAGAUCUCAUUAUGGGUGGUUGUGAGCCACCAUGUGGUUGCUGGGAUUUGAACUUCGGACCUUCGGAAGAGCAGUCGGGUGCUCUUACCCACUGAGCCAUCUCACCAGCCCCCUGAGUUUAUUCUAUAAUCCCUUUUUAUUCAAUGCUGGAAGUUUGAGUUUUCAUAGUGUUCCUGUUGACAUUUGUGUUACUUGUGUAUCCCAGAAGUGAAUUUUGUGCAGUAGAUCAGCCCACUCUGGUACUCAAGAGAGUACAAAGUUAAGCUUCAGUCUGACCCCACCCAGCCUGAGCAGUGUAGAUGGUCUGGGGGGUAAGAGGAAUUUCUAGAUAUAGCAUAUGCCACUGACACUUUUGUAUCUUAUGUGAGAAUAUGGACACAUGCACCUUUGUGGAGAUCAGAGGAAAACUUUCUGGGAUUAUUUUUCUCCUGUUCAUUCCCCAGAUCAAACUCAAGUUGUCAAACUUAUGUGGCAAAUGUAUUUAAGUGAGUAGUAACGGCCCUCUUAAGAUUUAUUUAUUUUGCUUUUUUCAGGCAAGUUCUCACUAAGUAGCUGAAACUUACUGUGUAGACUGUGCUGACUUCCAAAGCAGAAGCCUGUGUCUGCCUCCCGAGUACUGAAUUAAAGGCUUGCAUGAGUAUACCAGCCUUCUUUUAAGAUUAGGGGGAGGGGGGAUUUUCGGAGGGGAAAUUAGGAAAGAAAAUUU